ensembl:lncRNA
GUUUAACGGCAGCUGGCAUCCUUGUACAUGCAGUGCUGCCAUCUUCUGUUUCAGUCCGUUAUUACACUCUUAAAUACUACUACUUAUUCCUGCGUCUUUUGGGAUCUUACAAAGCUUCAAACGACGCGUCGACUAUUAAAUUAGUCGUCGACGAUUUUAAUAGUCGACGUAAUCGUGACUAGUCGACUAAUCGUGGCAGCCCUAAUCGGCAUAAUGCUAUAAUGCUACGUAGCACUAUAAGUAUAUGCCAUGACAGUGGCAACCUGCGACUUCAGAAAAUGUGUUGUACUGUUUGUUUUAGUGUUAGCCAAGCAGUACUGAGUACAUGUAUUAAGGGGAAAGGCUUUCGUUGGUGAAACAACGUUUGGAGUCGUCUGCCGCCAUGUUGUGUUGCGUUCAGGGGACGCCAUGUUCAAAAGUGAUAGCGUAUAUGGCGCGAAUGUGGGGACAGGUUGUGUGAAUGUGAGAUGGGUUAUUUCGGUAUGUUGUUAUGCUUUAACCGCGAGUGUUUUGUUUAAGUUGUGAGUAUGUAAAGUUAUUUUGAAUUAGUUUGUAUUUAUUUUGCUUUUGAGAGAAUGCUUUUUGUAACUUUAUUUGUUUAUCAACUAUGUUAUUUUAUGGGAAGAAUGCAUGGUCUAGUGUGAUUUGUAUUGUGUAUAUGUGGAGAAAUAAAUGAGCUCCGGCCUGAGCAAGACGCUAACUUCGGUGUCCUCUCUAUUAAUCCACAGUUUGCUCAUACUUGGCUACGCAGUGCUCUCUAGCCUGUGUGCCGCUUGCUGCCGGUCCAGAUUCCCCUAGAUCUGGUGCAGGUACUGACAAACAAACUUUUAUGUUACCAAACUGGUUCUAAAUGUCAUUUUGCUCAUACUUGGCUACGCAGUGCUCUCUAGCCUGUGUGCCGCUUGCUGCCGGUCCAGAUUCCCCUAGAUCUGGUGCAGGUAACAUUUGCAUGAUCCAGUUGUAAUCUAAUAGCUUGAGGUUACUAUUAAUCAAUUGUUUUUGUGAUUUUACACAAAUUGACUUCCAUGUAGCCUCAGAAGUAUUGAUAUGUAAGUCAUUUCUCCAAGAUUCUAACUUAAAAUCUCCAGAAAACAAAUCUAAAUUAAAAAAAAAUCUGAAAGAGACUUUUAUUUAUUUUUUUAUUUUUUAUUUUUGAUGUUGAUGUCUCUAUUUUUAUUUCAAAAAAUGAAAUUAUUCAUUUCAGUUUCUAUGCCAAUUUUUCUAUGAUGCCAGUUCACAACAAAAGUUGCGUGAAAGCGCUUUAUACUGUAAGGUGAAAACCCUGCAGUAUUGUGGCGAAAACCCC